AGCAGUAGCGCGGUAAUACGUAGGGUGCGAGCGUUAAUCGGAAUUACUGGGCGUAAAGCGUGCGCAGGCGGUUUCGUAAGACAGGCGUGAAAUCCCCGGGCUCAACCUGGGAAUGGCGCUUGUGACUGCAAAGCUAGAGUGCGGCAGAGGGGGAUGGAAUUCCGCGUGUAGCAGUGAAAUGCGUAGAUAUGCGUAGGAACACCGAUGGCGAAGGCAAUCCCCUGGGCCAAUACUGACGCUCAUGCACGAAAGCGUGGGGAGCAAACAGGAUUAGAUACCCCGGUAGUCCCUGUCUCUUAUACC
rnacentral:rRNA from 1 species